UUGUCAAGCACCUACUUAAUCAGGCAAUCCAUCGUAAGCUGCAGAUUGUGCUGAUUAAUAAUUGAUUUGGAAGUACUUGCUUACAUGAUUUUUAAGUUAUUAGACUAAGAGAUCAUUAAUGGAGUAGUGGCUUAGUGGGUGACAUGCAUGUUGUUAAAAUAUUGCAGGGAUUAACCAUAUCUGAUAUCUGGUCCGACAAUGUCUAAAGGCGUUCUCCUCAAGGGGAAGACUCGGCUUGGGGCCCUCUAGCUAGGCUAGCUCCAUAUGGAAGAAUUAGGCAUUUGAUUUUCGUCCUCAUGUUCCCAGCUUCGAUCGUUCUGAACUAGGAAAUUAUGUUCUCGAUUAAUCAUCUGCGUUUUGUUUAUGAUGAAGCUGAUUACCAGCUGGUGAAGCCUUUACUCUCACCUUUUGCCAAAUGCAGUGGAGGGGAUAUGGUUUUCCUAACCAGCUUUGCUUGCCCUUGUCUUAAGCAGCAAGAAAGGGCUAGGCUUAAGCUGGAUUUACUUUGAUGUAUAUAUAGUAAAUUAAAUGCAGACUGCAAACAUGAACAACAAAGCAUAAUCAAAGGGAUUUCUUUUGUUAGAACACAGGUCUGAAGAACAAAGCAUAUUAGUAUAUUCUUUCAUGUUUAUGUUACCUGACAUAAACAAAC
rnacentral:lncRNA from 1 species